AGUUGCCAUAUGAUCCUGGGAAGAGAGGAUGAAUGUCGCUGGCAUCCUUGUUCUCAUUUCGUGGCAAUUUCCAAAUAGAAAGAAAACGAGUUUGAAGAUGAUCAAAGUAGACAUUGUUGGUCUCCACCUGGAUCCCUGAGUAUUCCUGCUGCUGCUGCUGCUGCUACACGAUCAACUCUGUUACUUAGGACACUUUUGGUGACAAAUGUAGGGAGGAGUUUGGUUCACUCUGUCUCCCAAACCAAUUUUCUCACAAAUUUCAAGCCGACUUGGUGUCCUACACUUUAACUCAUUUCUGACAUUAACUUUGAAGAAUUACCUCAGACCCUACUUGUUAAGCACUGAGUGUUACAACCUUACUUCGGGUGCUAGUUGCAUGAUUG
rnacentral:lncRNA from 1 species